rnacentral:rRNA from 1 species
CGCGCAGGCGGUCCGGUCAGUCGGAAGUGAAAUCCGUCGGCUCAACCGACGAAAUGCUUCCGAUACUACCGGACUUGAGUACGGGAGAGGAGAGCGGAAUUCCCAGUGUAGAGGUGAAAUUCGUAGAUAUUGGGAAGAACACCGGUGGCGAAGGCGGCUCUCUGGACCGAUACUGACGCUGAGGCGCGAAAGCGUGGGGAGCGAACAGGAUUAGAUACCCUGGUAGUCC